AAAAUGUCAGAUGGUAAGCCAAUCAGAGGUCGCGUAGGGCGGGUCAUGUCGUUUACGUUCGUAAAUUAACUUCCGGGGUCAGUAGUGUGUCUUGUUAUCACGCUGCCAGACUCUAAAGACAGUUUAUAGUCAGUUUAACGGGAGAGUUGGUAAGGCUGUAAACCCAAAAGAAGAAGAAUUGGAGACAUUUGGCUAUGUGGAGGUGUUUUUGUUAAGUCUUGUCCUGAAAGUCCUGCUGCCGGCUCAGAGAAGCUCAGAGAUGAAGAACAGAAGUGGUGGCUCACUGGACAGUCGGCUCAAACAGAGAGUGGAGCAGUAUCUGGCGUCCAGCAGCUGUCAGUAUGUGGACCUUUCAGCCACGGCCCUGGAGCUUCAAAGGCAGUACAGG